CUGUGGAGGCCCCGCGCCCUUCCCUGCGUUAUGUAAGAGGGCGGCGCCGCCAUUGGCCGGCGGGAUCGGGGCGGCCGGGACCUGCCGGCGCGGGGGGGGAGGCGGAAGCAGCGCGCAUGCGCAGUUCGGGGGCGCUGACUCCUCCAUCCUCCUCUCGGGCAGGCGGCGGCCGCGGCUGCUGCGGGGCCGCACGGAGCCUUCCCCACCCGCUCGCUAGCGCCUGGGCCGGCCGGGCUAGUCCGGAUAUGGCUCGUGGACAGCAGAAGAUUCAGUCGCAGCAGAAAAAUGCCAAAAAGCAAGCUGGACAGAAAAAGAAACAAGGACAUGAUCAGAAGGCUGCAGCCAAGGCUGCCUUAAUAUAUACCUGCACUGUUUGUAGGACACAAAUGCCAGACCCCAAGACCUUCAAACAGCACUUUGAGAGCAAGCAUCCUAAGACUCCACUUCCUCCAGAAUUGGCUGAUGUUCAGGCAUAAAGUUGUUUACAGUGAAAGUUAGCUUGAAACUAAAAACACAUCCUCAGAUCACUAAGCAUGAGAAGCAACUUCAUCAUUACUACUGCGGCAGCGAAGUCCUGGUCCUUGAUUGGACCAUUGAUACUAACUUUGAGGAAAAAAUACAACCCUAGGUGAAUUCAUGGCACCUAUUGACUCGUCUACAGUCAGACCUUACAUAACAAAUCUGCAGCUGCUUUUCUAACAAACUGUUGAUCAGCAAAAAUGAAGGGGUUACAGAAACAUUCAUAUUUUUAUGCUGUUCCCUCUUGAGCUUCAUGCAAAGACGAUUCUGUGUAAAUGUACAGUUGUGCCCUAUUUGGAAAUCCUGAAAACCAGUCCAUACUUGUUAUAAACAUUUUUUACAAUUGUAAUUAUACUGAUGUUCAUAUUGUGUAAAAUAACUCAUUUAAUAAAGUAGUAUUUUGAUUUUUACAAUAUCACAGGUUAAAUGCUUGUAGAAGUUCUGUUUCAACUUUCCACAUUAUCUGCCUUAUAAAAUCCUAAUGAGGACAAAAUGGAAUUCUCUCCAUCCUGCCAGAAACGUGAGCAGUUUCAUUCCACUGAAAGUAAUGUGCAUUACAAUAAGCUGAGCUAAAGCUAACCUAAGAGGGAAACUGCUUAUGUUUACCUUCCAAUGUUCUGCCUGUUUGAGCUCGGUUACUAAAAUUUAAUUUCUUGACUCGAGGUAUAGCCAACUUCUUAGAACCUGUAUUAGAAUCAAGGGACUUCCUCUUUUUUGUUGUUUAUUAGGGAGUGUGGGUACUACAAGCCAUUUAGAACAGGUCUCCUUUGCUGUAAGGGAACUUGUUCCUUCUAUUCAUGCACUGGCGAGACUCUUGUUAGACAAGUGAACCUUAAUAUUUAGUAGAUGGCUGGCAAAGCUGAGACACAACAGAAUUUAAUAUUUCUGGACAUGCUUAUCAGAAUAAUGUUCACAAAUGCUAUAUCAAGUUAAAGUAACUCUGCUCUUCAUUGUAAAAUUCAGUUGGAAAGAUUGUAAAUGCACAUGAACAGUCAACCACACGUCUCACCUCCCACCCUCCAGAGUCUCUGGCUAUCUUAGUAGCAACUUUUUUCAAGAAGUGUGCAAAGUAAUCAAACUCUAAUGAUCUGCUUACUUGACAAUGAACUUAAAAUAAGCCUGUUGGAAAGCACACAAGCCAAAUGACUAACUGGAAGUGAUAUAGCUAGUUAAACUUAAAUCAGUCCUGACUUACCAACAUUACCAGGGAAAAUUUUAAGUUUUGCCUGAAACCCCUAGAUGAGAGCACUUGAGGACAGAUUUAACCUUCAUAAAGUGUAUCAUGGACUUGAUUCUAAUCUCAGAGCACAAAAGUGGGGGGGAAAUCUAAAACUGGUGUAUUUGAAUUGUGCUGGAAGGUCUGUGAUAUACAGUGGUAGCCAUCCUAAAUAUAUUUGAGGUGGUACUGCCAAAGAACAGACCUUCUGAAAUUGGUUAGACAGAGGGGAAAUGCUAUGAAUUGCUGAGAAAUUGGUUACAACAAACUGCAGCCACAAUAACUACUCUUAUUUCUGACAGACCAAGUAACCAAGUUGAACACAUUCUUUGAUUUAAUGAAAUUCACUUGAAAUAAGUGGUAUUUUUGGUAUAUCAAGUCAAAUACAGCCUCUUUCUAUGUCCACUUACUUUCCCUUUUAAUGAAUUACUUGUGUCAGGCUAGCCUCCCACCCUCUUUACUGUGACAUUAAGUUGUAUCUUUUUGUAAAUGUUCACUUUGGCCUAAAGUUUCAUUGUAAUAUACCCACUCUGACAUAAUCUGUAUACCACUGAAUUUUGAUAGGUACCCUGUUCGUCUGCUGAAAAUAAUCCAGUACUGCACCUAGUACUGACAUUAGAAUGUAGCCCUUCAUUUUUUCUUAAUGUUAGCAGUUAAUUCAAUAACUUCAUUCUGACAGCCUGACUCCCACAAGACAAGAAAUCUGCCUUUCAACUUGGUGCUGAGGGGUACCUAAAUGUUCUCAUACUGUAAUUUCAUCAAAAAUAAGAUGAGUAUACCCUGAACAAAAUGUUCCUCACAUUGAUUGAUGUUUGGUAGUCUGGUUUUUCUCAGGAGAAGGUUCUGGGAUGCAUCCUUUACCAAAAAAAGCCCUAAGCUGAAAGACAUGUUUUGUUGCUUUAAUUUACAGAUUGUGUAGCAAACGUAGUUAAUGAGCAAAUAAGGUGGCUGGAAAGCGGCAUCAUACUGGUAGGACAAAUUAACCUACUUAAGAAUUUUGUUGCAUUUUGAAAACUGUAUGAUAACUACGUAACAAUCAGUUGAUAUUGGUAAAGGCCAGGGUGGUGUUCAGUUUUAUACACUAAUAAACUCCCUAUUUACAGCUGUUGCAAUCUGAAAUACUGUAACAUUUUCUAAUAAACUGAACCCAAAAGUAUGGGGGGAAUGCAGGACUAGUGGGGGAAUUAUCCUCAUUUAGUAUUGUCUGCAAAUACUCAGUGUAUGGAUUUAAAGAGUUGUGGGGGGGGGUAAGGAAUAGGGGAGUUUCCUCUCCUCACUUCUAAACUUGUGGAUGGCACCCUGUUAAUUCUGACUAAAAAGACACAAUUGUGCAUUGUACUGUGUCUGAUUAAAGAGCAAGUUAAAAAAC